CGGAGGUCCAGCACCGCCCAGUGCUGAGGCUGACGAGGUGCGUGCGCCCUCCCCGCGGGACAGGCCCGGCGCUCCCCGCGGUGCCCUACUAACGUGCUGCCCACGGGAGUUGUGUUCCCGAAACAGUGCCUGUGCUGAAGCACCUAUGCCUGGUGCAGGGACAGAGCCCGUGUGGCCCUCAGCCACAAGAUUCACCAGCUGCUCACAUAAACACACUGUCUUCCCCACCGGAAAUGCUCUUGUGGAAACCUGAGCCUUUCUUCUCCACUAAACAACAUGCUUCAGAUUCCCUGCAAAUAAAAGGAGGCAGAAAAGGA